UCUUCACCUCCGCCGGCGCUGUCUCCGCGCACGUGUCACGAAGUGUCGUCGGUGUCGUCAAGUAGCCGCAAAAGUCAAUACUCCCAUGAAAUGCGACGUUUGUGGCGUUGGCCUGUCUUCACUGGAAAAAUAUGGGGAGCAUUAAGGUAGGGAGCACCACAUCGCAGCGCACAAAUUCGCCGCCGAAUACGUGCAGCAGGCGUUCCACAAAGAUAAAGAAUUCAGUGAAUGGAAAGCUCAGGAAGAGGCGAACUGUUGGUUUGUUCUUCACACGGCUCCCAAAAAGCUGGCCAGUGGGGAAACGAGGAGCCACUACUACUCUAAUAGAUCAGGAGUGGCUAGGCCAAAGGAAGGUCAUGGUAAUCGUCGAGAAAAAAGUCAGGGUACCUGCAAGUCCGGUAAGAUAUGUCUUUCAUUUAUUACUGUGACGAAGAAGGAGAACACUCAGAGCCCGGCACCUGAAGAUAUCACCAUAAAUGUAAGGUACCAAAGAAAGCAUUAUGGCCAUGAAGCAGAAAUUCAGC